rnacentral:rRNA from 1 species
UACCAUAUAAUGGAGAGUUUGAUCCUGGCUCAGAACGAACGCUGGCGGCGCGUUUUAAGCAUGCAAGUCGAGCGGCAAGCAGUCUUCGGACUGCCUAGAGCGGCGAACGGGUGAGUAACACGUAGGUGAUCUGUCCUGAGGUUGGGGAUAGCCUGUGGAAACACAGGGUAAUACCGAAUACGUCCUGACUGCUGUGGCAGUGAGGGCAAAGGCCCUUCGGGGUCGCCAUGGGGUGAGCCUGCGGCUCAUUAGCUAGUUGGUAGGGUAAAGGCCUACCAAGGCGACGAUGAGUAGCCGGCCUGAGAGGGUGAACGGCCACACUGGGACUGAGAUACGGCCCAGACUCCUACGGGAGGCAGCAGCUAAGAAUCUUCCGCAAUGGGCGAAAGCCUGACGGAGCGACGCCGCGUGGGUGAUGAAGGCCUAACGGUUGUAAAGCCCUUUUCUGUGUGAGGAAUAAUGCUGGGAGGCAAUGCCCGGCAGAUGACGGUAGCACAGGAAUAAGCCCCGGCCAAUUACGUGCCAGCAGCCGCGGUAACACGUAUGGGGCGAGCGUUGUUCGGAAUUAUUGGGCGUAAAGGGCGCGUAGGCGGCCACGUAAGCCUGGUGUGUAAGACCGCAGCUCAACUGCGGGAGCGCGCUGGGAACUGCGUGGCUGGAGUUCAGGAGGGGAAGUUGGAAUUCCUGGUGUAGGGGUGAAAUCUGUAGAUAUCAGGAAGAACACCGGCGGCGAAGGCGAACUUCUGGCCUUGAACUGACGCUGAGGCGCGAAAGCGUGGGGAGCAAACAGGAUUAGAUACCCUGGUAGUCCACGCUGUAAACGAUGUGCACUAGGUGUUGGGCCGCUGAAGGUCCAGUGCCGUAGCUAACGCGUUAAGUGCACCGCCUGGGGAGUAUGCUCGCAAGGGUGAAACUCAAAGGAAUUGACGGGGGCCCGCACAAGCGGUGGAGCAUGUGGUUUAA